rnacentral:tRNA from 1 species
GGGCCGGUAGCUCAGCGGUAGAGCACGUGACUUUUAAUCAUGUGGCCGAGGGUUCGAUUCCCUCCCGGCUCACCA